rnacentral:rRNA from 1 species
UACGGAGGUGCCAAGCGUUAGGCGGAAUCACUGGGCUUAAAGCGUGUGUAGGCGGAUCGUUAAGUACCUUGUGAAAUCCCACGGCUUAACCGUGGAACUGCUCGGUAUACUGGCGGUCUUGAGCAACCUAGGGGGCGAGCGGAACAAAUGGUGGAGCGGUGAAAUGCGUAGAUAUCUGGAGGAACACCGGUGGCGAAGGCGACAUCCUGGACCGGUAUUGACGCUGAGGCGCGAAAGCCAGGGGAGCAAACGGG